UCCCAGAUCAGCUCAGGUAUGCCCUGUAGGUCUCAAGCUUAAAGCCUCUCCUGCCAAUUCCUCCCUGGGCUUUCGGCCUCCUAGCCUUGUACUUUAUCAUAUAGAAAAAUGCAUUCGACUCACUGGAAAGUCAUGUUCCCGAGAGUGCGCGUGUGGAUAGAAAGAUUAGAGAACAGUUUGUGUUCGGGUUUGUGGCUCUGGUCAUAGCGUGCCUCCCUGCCUCUCAAGCUGCCCAUUUCAAUUCAAAUUAAUCAGUGCCUCCAGGUCGUCCAUGCCAACAUGCCAGCGGAAGCGCGGCUGCCCUCCAUCCAUCACUGCCUGGCUUAUCCAAGUUCCAGUUAUUUGGUUUAGGCGAUACCUUGAAAACACAUCGACAAAAACAGUCAGAAGCAGAACUAAAGGAGCUAAAAAGCAAGAAAGAGAUGGCCAGAGGAAAACUGAAACCGAGAUAAUAGCUUGUCAAUGAUUGGUGGGCCGUGACUCCGCCUUUCCUAUUCAAAGAAACUAGAAAGAUCCAAGAACCAAUGUCAAACAGAAGAGUCCCUGAAUAUCUCCCAGUUCUCAGACCUGCAGUCUUUCACACCUGUCCGCCCAGACCUUUUGCAGGCAACUUGGAAAUGUGCCCAGUCAAAGUACAAUACAAGACAGAAACAAAGUGAAACCAAGUAAGACAAACAGAAAGACACUCACCAGCUUGUCAAAGGCUCCAUGGGUCGGAGUCCUGCUGGAUCUGAGGGAAUCCCAGACAAGCCCCCAAAUGUUAUGCCCACAUCAUGAGAACCCCAGAGAUCACCAAGAGUCUGAGUCUGUAUGCAAAGCAAAGAGCCUUUAUUGCAAGCUGAGCUUGGGCUCUCUGUUCCAACACAGUGGUUGGAUCAGGGAGAGCAUUGAGCUCAGUUAUGGCAGGGUCUUUAAGUAGUAAGGAUGGGGGAGUAGGGGAAUUUCAGAUUCAGAUGGGGGUUGAACUCCUGACUGAGCAAGAGUGAGAUAACAGAAGUCUUGUGAAACAGGGAUGGGUACUGGCACUGCUGCAAGAAAAUUAGCAACCUAUAUCAGAUUAUGUGAGCUGUCCUUUAUGUUCUAGAGCAUUUAGUACUUGUUUGUCUCAAUUCUGAUUGGUUCCCCGCAGGGCACAGUUUGUGGCUUUUCCUGGUUAUUGUAAUGUUGAGGCCUAGUCCCAGUAUUGUUAGCCUGUAGCCUGUCAUGGCUUCACUAAUGUUAAGUUAGGCCUCUUCAGUAAAUAAAUGCUUUACUCAAUCAG